GGGCGGGGGGGCGUGCCUAAUACAUGCAGUCGAGCGCGGGAAGCGAACGGAACUCUUCGGAGGGAAGUUCGUGGAACGAGCGGCGGACGGGUGAGUAACACGUAGGCAACCUGCCUGUAAGACUGGGAUAACUCGCGGAAACGCGAGCUAAUACCGGAUAACACUUUCUAUCACCUGAUGGAAAGUUGAAAGGCGGCUUUUGCUGUCACUUACAGAUGGGCCUGCGGCGCAUUAGCUAGUUGGUGAGGUAACGGCUCACCAAGGCGACGAUGCGUAGCCGACCUGAGAGGGUGAUCGGCCACACUGGGACUGAGACACGGCCCAGACUCCUACGGGAGGCAGCAGUAGGGAAUCUUCCGCAAUGGACGAAAGUCUGACGGAGCAACGCCGCGUGAGUGAUGAAGGUUUUCGGAUCGUAAAACUCUGUUGUCAGGGAAGAACAAGUCGGGUAGUAACUGACCCGGCCUUGACGGUACCUGACCAGAAAGCCACGGCUAACUACGUGCCAGCAGCCGCGGUAAUACGUAGUGGCAAGCGUUGUCCGGAAUUAUUGGGCGUAAAGCGCUCGCAGCGGUUCUUUAAGUCUGAUGUGAAAUCUUGCGGCUCAACCGCAAACGUGCAUUGGAAACUGGAGGACUUGAGUGCAGAAGAGGAGAGUGGAAUUCCACGUGUAGCGGUGAAAUGCGUAGAGAUGUGGAGGAACACCAGUGGCGAAGGCGACUCUCUGGUCUGUAACUGACGCUGAGAGCGAAAGCGUGGGGGAGCGAACAGGAUUAGAUACCCUGGUAGUCCCCGCCGUAAACGAUGAGUGCUAGGUGUUAGGGGGUUUCCGCCCCUUAGUGCUGAAGUUAACGCAUUAAGCACUCCGCCUGGGGAGUACGGCCGCAAGGCUGAAACUCAAAAGAAUUGACGGGGACCCGCACAAGCGGUGGAGCAUGUGGUUUAAUUCGAAGCAACGCGAAGAACCUUACCAGGUCUUGACAUCCUUUGAACCCUCUAGAGAUAGAGAUUUUCCUUUGGGGACAAAAUGACACAUGGGGCAUGGUUGUCGUCUGCUCGUGUCUUGAGAUAUUGGGGUAAGUCUCGCAACGAGAGCAACCCCUAAAAUUAGUUGCCACCACUCUCUUGGGCACUCUAAGGUGACUGCCCGUGACACACCCGAGGAAGGUGGGGAUGACGUCAAAUCAUCAUGCCCCCUAUGACCUGGGGUACACACGUGCUACAAUGGACGGAACAAAGGGAAGAGAACCCCCGAGGUCCAGCAAAAAUCAUAAAACCGUUCUCAGUUCGGAUUGCAGGGUGCAACUCUCCUGCAUGAAGCCGGAAUCGCUAGUAAAAUCGGAUCAGCAUGCCGCGGUGAAUAUGUUCCCGGGGGUUGUACACACCCCCCGUCACACCACGAGAGAUCGUAACACACGAAGUCGGUGAGGUAACACAGACUUGAGCCAGCCGCCGAAGGUGGGACGAAUGAUUGGGGUGAAGUCGUAACAACGAGCCCCA
rnacentral:rRNA from 1 species